GACGUAGGAUGCAAGCGUUGUCCGGAUUUAUUGGGCGUAAAGAGUUCGUAGGCGGUUAGUUAAGUCUGGUGUUAAAUCCCGUGGCCCAACCACGGAGCUGCAUCAGAUACUGGCUGACUUGAGUGCGGUAGAGGCGAGUGGAAUUCCCAGUGUAGCGGUGAAAUGCGUAGAUAUUGGGAAGAACACCAGUGGCGUAAGCGACUCGCUGGGCCGUAACUGACGCUGAGGAACGAAAGCCAGGGGAGCGAAU
rnacentral:rRNA from 2 species